rnacentral:rRNA from 1 species
AUUGAACGCUGGCGGCAGGCCUAACACAUGCAAGUCGAACGAGUGGCGGACGGGUGAGUAAUGUCUGGGAAACUGCCUGAUGGAGGGGGAUAACUACUGGAAACGGUAGCUAAUACCGCAUACCAUCGGAUGUGCCCAGAGGGGAGUAGGUAGUCGGUGGGGUAAAGGCUCACCUAGGCGACGAUCCCUAGCUGGUCUGAGAGGAUGACCAGCCACACUGGAACUGAGAAACGGUCCAGACUCCUACGGGAGGCAGCAGUGGGGAAUAUUGGAAAAUGGGCGAAAGGCUGAUGCAGCCAUGCCGCGUGUAUGAAGAAGGCCGUCGGGUUGUAAAGUACUUUCAGCUGGGAGGCGUUACCCGCAGAAGAAGCACCGGCUAACUCCGUGCCAGCAGCCGCGGUAAUAC